AACGAACGCUGGCGGCAGGCUUAACACAUGCAAGUCGAGCGCCCCGCAAGGGGAGCGGCAGACGGGUGAGUAACGCGUGGGAAUCUACCCAUCUCUACGGAAUAACGCAUGGAAACGUGUGCUAAUACCGUAUACGUCCUUCGGGAGAAAGAUUUAUCGGAGAUGGAUGAGCCCGCGUUGGAUUAGCUAGUUGGUGGGGUAAAGGCCUAGCAAGGGGAAGAUCCAUAGCUGGUCUGAGAGGAUGAUCAGCCACACUGGGACUGAGACACGGCCCAGACUCCUACGGGAGGCAGCAGUGGGGAAUAUUGGACAAUGGGCGCAAGCCUGAUCCAGCCAUGCCGCGUGAGUGAUGAAGGCCCUAGGGUUGUAAAGCUCUUUCACCGGUGAAGAUAAUGACGGUAACCGGAGAAGAAGCCUCGGCUAACUUCGUGCCAGCCGCCGCGGUAAUAC
rnacentral:rRNA from 1 species